rnacentral:rRNA from 1 species
AAUGGCCGCGGUACUUUGUACCGUGCUAAGGUAGCGUAAUCAAUUGGCUUUUAAAUGAGGUCAGGAAUGAAUGGAAUUACGUGGUUCAGCUGUCUCUAAAUUAAUAUAUUGAAAUUACUAUGUAGGUGAAAAAGCUUACAAGAAGAUAAAGGACGAGAAGACCCUUAGAGUUUUUCUUAAUUUGAUAAUUCUUUAAUGAUAAUAUUCAUAAAUAGUUUUGUUGGGGCAACAUAGGAGCAAAUAUAAAAAUAAUCUCUUAAAUAAAUUACUAAUCGAUGAUUAUAAAAUUGCAUAAACUACCUUAGGGAUAACAGCAUAAUGUUAAAAACAAGUUUGUGACCUCGAUGUUGGACUAGGAAACUAAAAGGCUAGUCGUCUUUU